rnacentral:tRNA from 1 species
GGGCGAGUGGUGGAAUUGGCAGACACGACGGACUUAAAAUCCGUUGCCCGUAAGGGCUUGAGGGUUCAAGUCCCUCCUCGCCCACCA